rnacentral:lncRNA from 1 species
UGUUUUUUUCAAAACAAAAAGAAAUAGUAAUCAACUAAACUUUUAGUCUAAAGUUUACAAAAUGGAAAUGUGCUGUGAACUUAACAAUCUACGUGAAAUGGUGGUUCAAUCUAUAAGUCAAGAAUCUACCAAAGUGUUGUCUGAAAUAGCAACCUGCAAGAAUAUUUUGGAUUUUCUGGAUAUAAAUGAUGGCAUUAUUUCUCUCAAAUAUCCUGAU